CCUACGGGAGGCUGCAGUGAGGAAUAUUGGUCAAUGGACGAGAGUCUGAACCAGCCAAGUAGCGUGAAGGAUGACUGCCCUAUGGGUUGUAAACUUCUUUUAUAUGGGAAUAAAAUGUUCCACGUGUGGGAUUUUGUAUGUACCAUAUGAAUAAGGAUCGGCUAACUCCGUGCCAGCAGCCGCGGUAAUACGGAGGUUCCGAGCGUUAUCCGGAUUUAUUGGGUUUAAAGGGAGCGUAGGUGGAUUGUUAAGUCAGUUGUGAAAGUUUGCGGCUCAACCGUAAAAUUGCAGUUGAAACUGGCAGUCUUGAGUGCAGUAGAGGUGGGCGGAAUUCGUGGUGUAGCGGUGAAAUGCUUAGAUAUCACGAAGAACUCCGAUUGCGAAGGCAGUUCACUGGACUGCAACUGACACUGAGGCUCGAAAGUGUGGGUAUCAAACAGGAUUAGAUACCCUAGUAGUC
rnacentral:rRNA from 1 species